rnacentral:rRNA from 1 species
UGCAAGUUGAGCGAAGCUUUUUGGUAGUUUGCUACUAGAAAUGACUGAGCGGCGAACGGGUGAGUAACGCGUGAGCAAUCUACCUUAGUUACUGGGAUAGCCCGAGGAAACUCGGAUUAAUACCGGAUAUUCUUAUUUUUUCACAUGAAGUUUUAAGGAAAGGUCAGCCGAACUAAGAUGAGCUCGCGUUCUAUCAGCUAGUUGGUGGGGUAAAAGCCUACCAAGGCUACGACGGAUAGCUGGUCUGAGAGGACGAUCAGCCACACUGGGACUGAGACACGGCCCAGACUCCUACGGGAGGCUGCAGCAGGGAAUAUUGUGCAAUGAGCGAAAGCUUGACACAGCGACACCGCGUGUGGGAUGACGGUUCUAGGAUUGUAAACCACUUUCAGGAGGGAAGAAAAUGACGGUACCUCCACAAGAAGACCCGGCCAACUAUGUGCCAGCAGCCGCGGUAAUACAUAGGGGUCAAGCGUUGUCCGGAUUUAUUGGGCGUAAAGAGCUCGUAGGCGGUUCAACAAGUCGGUCGUAAAAGUUUAGGGCUCAACCCUAAAAUGUCGAUCGAUACUGUUGUGACUAGGAUACGGUAGAGGUGAAUGGAAUUCCGAGUGUAGCGGUGAAAUGCGUAGAUAUUCGGAGGAACACCAAUUGCGAAGGCAGUUCACUGGACCGUGAUCGACGCUGAGGAGCGAAAGCUAGGGGAGCAAACAGGAUUAGAUACCCUGGUAGUCCUAGCUGUAAACGAUGGAUACUAGAUGUAGAACUGGAUUGACGGUUUCUGUAUCGUAGCUAACGCGUUAAGUAUCCCGCCUGGGGAGUA